GACGAACGCUGGCGGCGUGCUUAACACAUGCAAGUCGAACGAUGAAGCUGGAGCUUGCUCUGGUGGAUUAGUGGCGAACGGGUGAGUAACACGUGAGUAACCUGCCCUGGACUCUGGGAUAACCCCGAGAAAUCGGAGCUAAUACCGGAUAGGACCUCGGGUCGCAUGAUCUGGGGUGGAAAGUUUUUCGGUCUGGGAUGGACUCGCGGCCUAUCAGCUUGUUGGUGAGGUAAUGGCUCACCAAGGCGUCGACGGGUAGCCGGCCUGAGAGGGUUACCGGCCACACUGGGACUGAGACACGGCCCAGACUCCUACGGGAGGCAGCAGUGGGGAAUAUUGCACAAUGGGCGCAAGCCUGAUGCAGCAACGCCGCGUGCGGGAUGACGGCCUUCGGGUUGUAAACCGCUUUUAGUAAGGAAGAAGGGGAGUUUGACUCCUUGACGGUACUUGCAGAAAAAGGACCGGCUAACUACGUGCCAGCCGCCGCUGUAACAC
rnacentral:rRNA from 1 species